rnacentral:pre_miRNA from 1 species
AGAGAAAAUAGCUGGGUCAAAUGGUGGUUUCAUUCCCAAUUUUCUAAAGAAUCUCCAUACUGCUUUCCAGAUUGGCUGCACCAAUUUGCAGUCCCACAAGCAAU